CCUACGGGAGGCAGCAGUGGGGAAUUUUCCGCAAUGGGCGAAAGCCUGACGGAGCAACGCCGCGUGAGGGAUGAAGGCCUCUGGGCUGUAAACCUCUUUUAUCAAGGAAGAAGAUCUGACGGUACUUGAUGAAUAAGCCACGGCUAAUUCCGUGCCAGCAGCCGCGGUAAUACGGGAGUGGCAAGCGUUAUCCGGAAUUAUUGGGCGUAAAGCGUCCGCAGGCGGUCUUGUAAGUCUGUCGUUAAAGCGUGGAGCUCAACUCCAUUUCGGCGGUGGAAACUACAAGACUAGAGUGUGGUAGGGGCAGAGGGAAUUCCCGGUGUAGCGGUGAAAUGCGUAGAUAUCGGGAAGAACACCAGUGGCGAAGGCGCUCUGCUGGGCCAUAACUGACGCUCAUGGACGAAAGCUAGGGGAGCGAAAGGGAUUAGAUACCCCUGUAGUCCUAGCCGUAAACGAUGAACACUAGGUGUCGGGGGAAUCGACCCCCUCGGUGUCGUAGCUAACGCGUUAAGUGUUCCGCCUGGGGAGUACGCACGCAGUGUGAACUACAAUAGAAUUAGUACGGCGUGAGACGUGCCGAACGGACGACGACCGACGGGGAGGUAGG
rnacentral:rRNA from 1 species